AUUGAACGCUGGCGGCAUGCCUUACACAUGCAAGUCGAACGGUAACGCGGGGCAACCUGGCGACGAGUGGCGAACGGGUGAGUAAUACAUCGGAACGUGCCCAGUAGUGGGGGAUAGCCCGGCGAAAAGCCGGAUUAAUACCGCAUACGACCUACGGGUGAAAGCAGGGGAUCGCAAGACCUUGCGCCAUUGGAGCGGCCGAUGUCAGAUUAGGUUGUUGGUGGGGUAAAGGCCUACCAAGCCGACGAUCUGUAGCUGGUCUGAGAGGACGACCAGCCACACUGGGACUGAGACACGGCCCAGACUCCUACGGGAGGCAGCAGUGGGGAAUUUUGGACAAUGGGCGCAAGCCUGAUCCAGCCAUGCCGCGUGCGGGAAGAAGGCCUUCGGUUGUAACGCUUUGUCAGGGAAGAAAC
rnacentral:rRNA from 1 species